AGAGUUUGAUCAUGGCUCAGGAUGAACGCUAGCGGCAGGCCUAACACAUGCAAGUCGGAGGGGCAGGCACGGUGUAGCAAUACACUGGUGGCGACCGGCGCACGGGUGCGUAACGCGUAUGCAACCUACCCAGUAACAGGGGGAUAACACUGAGAAAUUGGUACUAAUACCCCAUAACAUCAGGACCGGCAUCGGUUCUGGUUGAAAACUCCGGUGGUUAUGGAUGGGCAUGCGUUGUAUUAGCUU
rnacentral:rRNA from 1 species